rnacentral:tRNA from 1 species
GGGCUGGGGCUCAGCGGUAGAGCGCUCGCCUAGCAUAUGCGAGUACCUGAGUUCGAUCCUCAGCACCACA